rnacentral:rRNA from 1 species
UGAGGAAUAUUGGUCAAUGGACGCAAGUCUGAACCAGCCAAGUAGCGUGCAGGAUGACGGCCCUAUGGGUUGUAAACUGCUUUUAUAUGGGGAUAAAGUGGGGAACGUGUUCCCUUUUGCAGGUACCAUAUGAAUAAGGACCGGCUAAUUCCGUGCCAGCAGCCGCGGUAAUACGGAAGGUCCGGGCGUUAUCCGGAUUUAUUGGGUUUAAAGGGAGCGUAGGCCGCGUUUUAAGCGUGUUGUGAAAUGUAGACGCCCAACGUCUGCAUCGCAGCGCGAGCUGGGACGCUUGAGUACGCGCAACGUUGGCGGAAUUCGUCGUGUAGCGGUGAAAUGCUUAGAUAUGACGAGGAACUCCGAUUGCGAAGGCAGCUGACGGGAGCGGCACUGACGCUUAAGCUCGAAGGUGCGGGUAUCAAACAGG